rnacentral:lncRNA from 1 species
UUUUCUUUUUUUCUUUUCUUUUCUUUUCUUUUUCUUUUUCUUUUCCUCCUUCCUUCUUCUUCCCGUGAGUAUUCUUUGGUGGAACAGGGGACCGUGCGAUCGCUUCUUGUUCCUCAGGUUAAGGGCGAUGACUGCUGGCUGGUAGCUAGCGGCAGUAGGGGUUGCGAUGGUGCAGCUCGGAGAAACCAAACCGACGGUCGGCGGUGACCAUCGGUGUUGGAAAACCAAAGAAAAGAGGGGCAAAAAC